UCUUUAGUUUGCCUUCACUUUUUGAAGAUAAUUUUGCUGGGUAUAAGAUUCUCAGUUGACAUUUUAAUUUUUAACUAUUGUUUCUGAGAAGUCCACUAGUAAUCUUAUUGCAAUAAGCCAUUUUCUCUUGCUGCUUUCAGGAUUUUUUUCUUGUUUUGUUUCCAAAUAUUUUUAUUAUAGUAUUUCUGAGUGGAUCUUCAGUACAGAGGUAGUUCUACCCAGACAGCCUCUAGAAUCUACUCUAUCAGCAGACUGAGCAAGAGAUAUUGGGGUCCCAGUACUCUUGGUCUGGGGUGCAGUUACUACAAUACAGAAUAUGGAAAUCCCAGCACCCUGCCCCUCCUGGAGCAAAAUCAAUUCCAGACUGGAAGAUGAUUUGGCAUGAAGAGAAACCAGUCACCUGAGAAUUUCUGGGAGAAGAAGCAGGCACAAGAUGUAAAGAUGGGUUGAGUUUGGUGGUACCGAGUUUGAAGUUCAAAUGGAUUGUCCAAGGGGAGGUAUGAAUUUGAAGAUAAAAUUUAAGCAUCACUCAAAUAUUAUCUCUUACUUGUACUGAAUGACCUGUUUACUCAUCCUCUGCA